rnacentral:rRNA from 1 species
GAUGAACGCUGGCGGCGUGCUUAACACAUGCAAGUCGAACGGAAAGGCCCUGCUUUUGUGGGGUGCUCGAGUGGCGAACGGGUGAGUAACACGUGAGUAACCUGCCCUUGACUUUGGGAUAACUUCAGGAAACUGGGGCUAAUACCGGAUAGGAGCUCCUGCUGCAUGGUGGGGGUCGGAAAGUUUCGGCGGUUGGGGAUGGACUCGCGGCUUAUCAGCUUGUUGGUGGGGUAGUGGCUUACCAAGGCUUUGACGGGUAGCCGGCCUGAGAGGGUGACCGGCCACAUUGGGACUGAGAUACGGCCCAGACUCCUACGGGAGGCAGAAGUGGGGAAUAUUGCACAAUGGGCGGAAGCCUGAUGCAGCAACGCCGCGUGCGGGAUGACGGCCUUCGGGUUGUAAACCGCUGUCGCCUGUGACGAAGCGUGAGUGACGGUAAUGGGUAAAGAAGCACCGGCUAACUACGUG